rnacentral:lncRNA from 1 species
AAGAGGAUUGCUAUUUUUCUUUUUCCCUGUUUAUUUACGUUUUCCCCUAUUUUUUCCUAUUUAUGUUCUUUUAUGAGAAAAGAAAAAACUCAAACGUCGCGUUCUUAUCUUCAAUCCUUUUUGUAACUGAAAUUGCUUGCAACGCCUUUGCUAUUCAACUCUCUCGCUCCUGUUGCAGAUGCCUUUCGCCCUUCUAUACAACGCCCUUUCAGAGCCUUCUCCUCUAUUCUAAAUUACCACGAAUAGUUGAUUUUUUUUAAUUAGUUGAAGAUUUCAGCCUCAUAGGGCGAAUCAUUUGCGGCAAGAUAAUGGAAGAUUUGGUUAUCAAAAUUCAAAGGCAGAUUAGGGUGAUUUCAGAUUGAAUACAUUCCUACGACGUACGAUAACAGGUAAAUGUUUACCAUCCUUCUGUUCUUCACUUCUUGUGUUUAUUUUGAGUUUCAAUUUCCUAUUUUGUCUUCGGAUCUUUGAUAGAAAUUAGUCAAUGUAUGUAAAACAUCAACAACUUACUUCAAUUAGGUUCGGAAAGAUGGUGCGGUGGAAGAUCCAAUCUUACUUCUGAUGUCUAUAUGCCCAGGUAAGUAUAAAAUUACAAAUUAUGGAUGCCAAUUAUAGAGUUUGAUCUAUUUCCUGUAAGGUGUUUUAAGUUGAUUUUGAUAGUAGUAGUAGUAGGGACAUAUCUGGGACUAAGGAGGAGCAAAGUCAAUGAGUUUCCCACAAGUGGGGUCUAGGAGGACUAAAGAGGAGGAAAUGAGAAAUUUGUUCGAUUGAUGCAGUAAAGUGCUUCGGCAUUGGGCUUUACUUUUCUUUUUAUGCAAUUCUUUUUUCUACCUUUAAC